UACGGAGGGUGCAAGCGUUAUCCGGAUUCACUGGGUUUAAAGGGUGCGUAGGCGGAUAGGUAAGUCCGUGGUGAAAUCCUGCAGCUUAACUGCAGAACUGCCGUGGAUACUAUCUAUCUUGAAUGUCGUGGAGGUUAGCAGAAUAUGUCAUGUAGCGGUGAAAUGCUUAGAUAUGACAUAGAACACCGAUAGCGAAGGCAGCUUACUACAGGAAGAUUGACGCUGAGGCACGAAAGCGUGGGGAGCAAACAGG
rnacentral:rRNA from 1 species